AAUUGACAGAGAAUCACAGCCAACAAAAGGUAACAAGUUCAAAAUUUGACAUCAAAUGCCGGAAAAUUGUCUGUGUAUUUCAGUUCCGAUCAACUGUCAUUAAUGCAUGUUCGUUUCAUUAUGCAUAUAUUUCACAGAUAAAUUCAAUAUUCUAAUAUCAAUUAUUAAUACGUGUUUAUUUGCUUUGAUACUCUGCAAUUUGCACGAUUUGCUUUGCUACACACUGUUCAUAUACAAUAUGUUUACAAAAAUGCAUUAUCUGAAGUUUAUAACUUCUGAAAAUCUAGGCAAACUUCCAAAAAGGCCCACCUCAAAAGUCAUGUUAAUGUAUAAUCUAUUUUAUUUUUCAACUAGAAAUUUAGAUUUUUUAAAAGCAUGGGUGUAAAACGCAUACUCUUAAAGUACAUUCAUUUUUUUAUCUAUCAAUAUAUAAAAAUACCACCUUAAUAAUAAUUAUCAAUAACCACAAUCAUACAUAUCUAUACCUUAAAUUAGGGUAAAGGUCGUUAAAAACUUCCAUUUGUUGGUAGAGCGAAGCAGUUCACAGCUUUUUAGAAAGCCAAAACUUGUUUUUUUUUUAAAUUUUUGUCAGAUAUUCGUAAUUCUAUCCGGUUUUAUCUAUGUAAAUAUAACAUUUUGCCCGCAAACCCAUACUUUUUCCUAAUUUUGUUACAUGUUUUAAGAAGCCAUAUUACGGAAACUCUCAUAAAAUCUUUGCUAUUUUUUCAUAGUUUUUGAAAGCAAACAUGCAGGUACUAAUGACAGUUUGACGAAAAACCCUCGAAAAACCUAGAGAGAAUCAUUACUUGCCAAAGUUUAAAUAGCUUAUAUCUUAAAAACAACACUGCAAAUAUUGCGGACUCCUGACGCGUCUAGACGCGUUCCAUUUUUAAACACAAUAUGUUCAGUUAUUAACAUUCGUGUUCCACACAUCCAGCGUUAAAGAAUAUAACACAUUGUGUUCAGUCUUUGAACGCACAUGUUCAAGACAAGUGUUCUAAAUUGAACACUAGAAAUGUUCUAAUAUUGUAAUGGGGAGUGAAAAAAUAUUUCAUCGCUUCAGAGUCAAACAGACGAUGAAUAAGGGACACACUGAAGUAUAAAUGGAAGUAGAACAUUUUGUGUCAACACAUAACGGUGCUGUUAUGCCAUAAUUCGAUUUAAAAAGUAGGAGGGUACAAACACAACUACAGUACUGAGGGGUAAUUGUUCGUGCAUACCUCGCCGAGAAUGAAGAGAAAAUUUCGCAGUUCAAGAGAUGACUACUUAUCCUGCACCAUAAAAGUACUUUCAUAUAACUCACAGUUGAUGGAUAACAAGGUUAAAGAGUAGUUAUAACCCAAGGAGACGAAUGUUCUAAAAAAUGGAAGCUCAAAAGACGAAUGUUCUAAAAAAUGGCAGCUCAAAAUCAGUUGUAGACGACUCAAAUCAUAAUCAAAAGUACCUAAGGUAGCAGUGUUACAUGAACACCGACUCGACUAGUAGCAGCAUAUACACAGGGUAUUUUAUGUUUGAUAUUGACUAUCUAAGUGCUAUGAAAGCUGUGGAUCAUCGAAAAUAUUGGUGAUAAACGAGUCAUUGACAUAAGUAUUUUGUAAUUCAGGACAGUGCUUGACUUGAGAAGUUGCAAACGAUGAUUUAAACUGUGUUCAUAAGUCACUAAACUUUGUUGUUACAUACUAAUUUUAAAUAUGACGAACAAUUUGUUUAUGGUUAAAUAUUUGGAUACAUUAAUUUUUGCAAAUUACAAAUGUUAUAUUUUUAAUUUGUCUAACUUGUCAUUUUAAAGUUGCUUCAAUAUUUCACAUUGUAUUGUACUUUUUUUUUUUAAUUUUGCCUCUUUUAAUCAAUUAAAGAUGUUUUUAAUCAAUUUAAUUAUUUGUUUUACAAGACCACAAUAAUGUUUCAGAGAAUAGAACACUUUUUUCUGGAACAUGUAAAAUUGUGUUCCACUAAUACAUGCAUAUGUAUACA